rnacentral:rRNA from 1 species
GACGAACGCUGGCGGCGUGCCUAAUACAUGCCAGUAGAACGCUGAAGGAGGAGCUUGCUUCUCUGGAUGAGUUGCGAACGGGUGAGUAACGCGUAGGUAACCUGCCUGGUAGCGGGGGAUAACUAUUGGAAACGAUAGCUAAUACCGCAUAAUAGUAGAUGUUGCAUGACAUUUGCUUAAAAGGUGCAAUUGCAUCACUACCAGAUGGACCUGCGUUGUAUUAGCUAGUUGGUGGGGUAACGGCUCACCAAGGCGACGAUACAUAGCCGACCUGAGAGGGUGAUCGGCCACACUGGGACUGAGACACGGCCCAGACUCCUACGGGAGGCAGCAGUAGGGAAUCUUCGGCAAUGGACGGAAGUCUGACCGAGCAACGCCGCGUGAGCGAAGAAGGGUUUCGGAUCGUAAAGCUCUGUUGUAAGAGAAGAACGAGUGUGAGAGUGGAAAGUUCACACUGUGACGGUAUCUUACCAGAAAGGGACGGCUAACUACGUG